rnacentral:rRNA from 1 species
CUGCUGCCUUCCGUAGGAGUUUGGCCGUGUCUCAGUCCCAAUGUGGGGGACCUUCCUCUCAGAACCCCUAGACAUCGUCGCCUUGGUGGGCCGUUACCCCGCCAACAAGCUAAUGUCACGCAUGCCCAUCCGUCUCCGGAGUCGCCUCCUUUGGCCGAAAGAAGAUGCCUCCCCUCGGCCACAUGCGGUAUUAGGCCGGAUUUCUCCGGGUUAUCCCGCUGAAACGGGCAGGUUGCAUACGCGUUACUCACCCGUGCGCCGGUCGCCGG